rnacentral:rRNA from 1 species
AUUGAACGCUGGCGGCAGGCCUAACACAUGCAAGUCGAGCGAGCGGCGGACGGGCGAGCAGUGUCGGGGAAACUGCCUGAUGGAGCGGGAUGACUACUGGAAACGGUAGCUACUACCGCAUACCACCCGAUGUGGCGUGAUUGGAUUAGCUAGCAGGUGGGGUAAUGGCUCACCUGGGCGACGAUCCCUAGCUGGUCUGAGAGGAUGACCAGCCACACUGGAACUGAGACACGGCCCAGACUCCUACGGGAGGCAGCAGUGGGGAAGAUUGGGCAAUGGACGCAAGCCUGAUGCAGCAAGGCCGCGUGUGUGAAGAAGGCUUUCGGGUUGUAAAGCACUGUUAGUGGGGAGGCGUUACUCGAAGAAGAAGCAACGGCUAACUCCGUGCCAGCAGCCGCGGUAAUAC